rnacentral:rRNA from 1 species
AAGGGCACCACAAGAACGCGUGGAGCAUGUGGCUUAAUUUGACUCAACGCGGGAAAUCUUACCGGGUCCGGACACACUGAGGAUUGACAGGUGUUUCGUCUUUAGUUUCUUACAUACGUUGGGUUUUAUUUUAUGUGUGUGUAUGCUAUAAAAUGUAUACAUGCAUAUGGGAUAUUAUUCACUUGUAUUAAAUUGUAAAAACAUUUCAAAUAUGCUAGUCCUUUCAUGAUUGUGUGAUAGGUGGUGCAUGGCCGUUCUUAGUUCGUGGAGUGAUCUGUCUGCUUAAUUGCGUUUCACUUACGGUCCACUCAUGUUUUUAUUGCUCUGUGACCUCAUUCCUUUUUAUAGGGAGUGACCGCGUCCGGAGUGAUAUGCAUAGUGAGGCCUCGAAGGCAACGAACGUGACCGCAACCUCUUGUUGCCUCCCUUGUGCAAGCUGUAUUGAGUUCAUUUUUAUCUUUCCUGAUAUUGGUGUACUUUUUCAGUUACUGCCACAGUUUCGUGUAUCAACGUAUAUUCGAUUAUACAUGUUUGUCUUUUUAAGGCAUCGUGUUGAUUGCGUAUUGKUGUUAUUGCAUGAUUAUCUGUAGUGGAGGGAAACUAGAGGGACCGCUGACAUUCUUUAAACCAGAGGAAGGUUGCGGCAAUAACAGGUCUGUGAUGCCCUUAGAUGUUCCGGGCUGCACACGUGCUACAAUGAUUAUUGCAGUGAGCAUCUUACCCAGUUCGUGUGCACGUUUUGUGUUCACUAUUUAAAUUCCUUACUCACUAUAUAUUGUUUGUUGUUGUAUACUUUGUAUGCGAUGGCGAAUGUAUGUACGUCGUGUUUGGAGUUGGUGUCGCAAACUGAUGCAUUUUUUUACGACUAGGCUACUUCGAAAGUGAGUAGCUAAUCAAUUCGAAGUAAUGAUUUCCUUUCGCACAAUUUAUAUAUGCCCUAUUGUUGUAUUUGCUGCUUUUUCCUUUUUCGGAAGGUUAGAGUUCAGAAGUAUAAUUAAUAGCUUGGCAUGUGCUCCAUUAAUUCGUGGUGGGGACAGACCAUUGUUAAUUGUUGGUCUCGGUCUCAACUAGGAAUGCCUUGUACGGGUCUUUGGUUCAACAGACCACCCGGAAUAUGUCCCUGCCCUUUGUACACACCGCCCGUCGCUCUUACCGAUGGACUUCUCUGUGAGUUUGAGGGACUGGAAACUAUCUUUCUAUGGAAACUUAAACGAACAGUGUGGUCUAAAGGAAAGAGAAGUCGUAACAAGGCAUCGGUAGGUGAACCU